AAGAAAGGGGAAACAAAGUUUAUAAUAUAGUGCUCGAGAUUACAAAGCAAGGUUUCAAAGAUCAAAUUUGUAUCGGGAUAGACAAGGAGAUGGGCCGACUGCAAUGGAUGGAAGCGAUGCUGCCAUUAGGGAUCAUCGCCGGUAUGCUUUGCAUUGCCGGAAAUGUUCAGUAUACCAUUCACAAAGCUGCUCAUGGACGUCCGAAGCACAUCGGUAAUGAUAUGUGGGAUGUGGCCAUGGAAAGACGGGACAAGAAGAUCGUCGACGAAAAACUCUCUCCUGCUGCUAAUUAGGGUUGGUUGGUGUUUUUCUGGAGUUAAUGUAAUGACACGACGUCCCUUAAUGUUUCUAAAACUUGAAUUUGCAUCUGUAGCAUGUAAUUCAAUAGCAGGGAAUUCUGCAUGAUCAACAUAUCUCAUUAAAGUUGAAAGGUCACUUUAUAGGAUGUUGAGUGACUAGUACGUAAGGGGGGUGUGUGUAGUCAAAAAGCGAAUGUCGGUGACGGUUAUGUGGCCAUGAACUGAAGGAUAAGAUUAGAAAUAACGCUAUAAUUCUAUUUGGUGUUAUUAAGAUUCCAUAGUAUUCUGUAAUAUGUU